UACGUAGGGUGCAGGCGUUAAUCGGAAUUACUGGGCGUAAAGCGUGCGCAGGCGGUUUUGUAAGUCAGAUGUGAAAUCCCCGGGCUCAACCUGGGAACUGCGUUUGAAACUACAAGGCUAGAGUGUAGCAGAGGGGGGUGGAAUUCCACGUGUAGCAGUGAAAUGCGUAGAGAUGUGGAGGAACACCGAUGGCGAAGGCAGCCCCCUGGGUUAACACUGACGCUCAGGCACGAAAGCGUGGGGAGCAAACAGG
rnacentral:rRNA from 1 species